rnacentral:rRNA from 1 species
AUGGCGGAAGCGAUCGCCAUAUCCCUCUCGGUCAAGGUCGCCGCGGCGCUGUCCCGCGCCGCAGCCGCCUCUCUCGUACCCAUCCGCCACGGUAUCGCCGCCGCCGCGCGCGACCUCGAGCUCCUCCGCGCCUUCCUCCGCUUCGCCGACUCCCGCCGCAGCACAGACGCGCUCGCCAGCGCCUGGGUCGAUCAGGUACGCGACGUCGGCUUCGAGCUCGAAGACGUCGUGGGCGAGUACACCUUUCUCGCUGGCAGCGGCGGCUUCCUCCGUGCCUGCGCCGACGUGAGGGCCUGGUUCGCGCUCUCCAGCCGCCUGCGGAAGGCGCGGGAGAGGCUCCGCGCUCUUUCGGCCGUCAAGGAGCAGUACGGCAUCCGGCCGGCAGAUGCCUCCGGGUCUCCGGAUGGCGGCACCGGCACCUCGGUCGCCAUCUGCCGGAAACUAUCAGAGGCUGCGCACUUCGUCGAGGAGGAGGAAAUCGUUGGCUUUGCCGCGCACAAGAGGUUACUGAUGAAAUGGCUAACCGAGGAAGCUGAGACCCGGCAGACGAUAAUCACCGUCUGCGGCAUGGGCGGGGUUGGAAAGACUACUCUUGCCACAAACGUGUACAAGAGAAUCGCCAAAAGCUGCCAUUUUGACUGUGCCGCGUGGGUGGCCGUCUCCAAGAACUUCACCACCGAGGACCUCCUCAGGAGAAUCGUCAAGGAACUUCACCGGUAUGUCCAAGAUGGUGCACCACGAGACAUGGACGAGAUGGACUACCGGUCUCUAGUGGAGGCCCUGCGUGGUCAUCUCACGCAGAAGAGGUACUUUCUUUUGCUGGAUGAUGUCUGGGAUGCAGAUGCCUGGUUUCAGCUCCGCACUGCAUUGUUUGAUAGUGGAACCGGGAGCCGAAUAGUCAUCACCACACGCAGUCAAGAAGUGGCUGCUCUGGCAUCAUCGCACAGGACCAUUAAGUUGGAACCGCUCUCUGAACAGGAAGCAUCUUCUUUAUUCUGUAGCACCAUAUUCCGAGAAGAUGCGGGUCCGGAGUGCCCAUAUCAUCUGCAGCAUUGGGCUUCCAAGAUACUGGACAGAUGCUGUGGUCUGCCAUUGGCGAUUAUAUCGGUUGGAAACCUCCUUGCAUUGAAGGAAAAAACAGAGUUUGCCUGGAAGAACGUCCAUGACAACCUUCUGUGGGAUGAAGGCUGUGAUCACGGUAUUGGGCAAGUGUCAACUGUACUGAAUUUCAGUAUCGAUGACUUGCCGUACCGCCUGAAGAGAUGUUUCCUCUCUUGCAGUGUAUACCCUGAGGAUUUCUCUAUCAAAAGGAAGACUCUAAUCAGAGAGUGGAUUGCCAAAGGUUUGGUAGAGGAAAAGGGCCAUAGCACAAUGGAGGAGGUUGCGGAUGGUUAUGUGACCGAGCUUGUGCAACGCAACUUGUUGCUGGUCGCGUUAAGAAAUGAGUUUGGACGUGCAAAGAGGUUACACAUUCAUGACCUGAUUAGAGAGGUUAUUGCACAUAGGUCAAAAGAAGACAGAACCUUUCAGUUAUCUAGGAGCACAACUGUGGACUCGAAACAGAAAAUCCGUCAUCUUACACUUGAUAACUGCCAAAUUGACCGUCAGUCGACUCCAAACCUGGCCUCACUUCGCUCCUUCUAUGUGCUUAGGUCAGAGCUGGAUGCUUCGCUGUUGUCUGAUUUCAGAUUGUUAACUGUGCUAAACCUUUGGUUCAUUAAGACAAAUAAACUGCCUAGUGCAGUGGCCUAUCUUUAUAAUCUGAGGUACCUUGGCAUACGCUCCACCCACAUUGAAGAGCUGCCGAAAGAAUUGGGGAAACUACAUAACUUGCAAACCUUGGAUGCCAAAUGGUCCAUGAUCAAGACAUUGCCAAGUAGCAUAACAAAAUUGAAGAACCUCCGGCACCUGAUAUUGUUUACACGUCGAGGCACAGAUUUCAUGAAGCCGGCCCCUGGUACACCAAUUGCUCUUCCGGAUGGUCUUCAAAAUCUCAGAUGCCUACAGACUCUUAAAUAUGUUCAAGCUAAUCAGAAGCUGGUCAGAUCCUUAGCGAGCUUGGAACAGAUGAGGAGCUUAGAGCUAUCUGGUGUGGACCAGAGAAUUAUUGUCGAUCUGCCCUCAGCACUAUCCAGAAUGAGUUGCCUUCUGCGCUUGGGAAUAAUCAGUUCUGAUGCUAAUGUAACGUUGGACUUGGAGUCAUUUUUGCCACCACCAGUGAACCUAAAAACACUCACCAUAACUGGCAAGUUGGCAAGGGGUAAGUUACCAUCAUGGUUCGGUUCUCUUACCAACCUCACGCAAUUGCAUUUGCGCUCAUCUGAACUCGGAGAAGAUUCAGUUGCAAUACUCUCAUCACUUCCCAGGCUGUUAUAUCUUAGUCUCAUUAAUGCAUACACCGAGGGAAGCUUAACCUUUGCAGCAGGUUGUUUCCCGGCCCUUAGACAACUAAGCUUGCUGGGCUUGCCCAAUCUUACCAGCAUAGAGUUUCAAAAGGAGAGCCUUGUAGAUCUACGUUUGCUGACACUCGGCCAAUGUCUUGAACUCGCUGAAAUACCCCAUAGCAUUGUGAACCUCAUACAUCUGGAAAAUUUGGAGCUUUUCGAAAUGCCGAGUAAUCUCACAGAAAAGAUACCUGAUGGGGAAGGUUGUGGGGCAAAUCAUAGAGACGACGAGCGCACUACGACUGUGAAGAACAUCUCCUGGUAUAAUGGACGAUUGUUGGAACAAAAAGUUUACAUCAACCUAUCUACUUUCCAGAAGUCACCCAAGACUGAUGCAGUUACGUUCAGGGAUGAAACCGGACAAAGAUCUCUAUGGUCUCACCUCUAUGGUAAGGGGGUCUGCUUGUACAAAUGA